rnacentral:rRNA from 1 species
AACAAACGCUGGCGGCGUGCCUAACACAUGCAAGUCGAACGCGAAAAUCGGCUUCGGCCGAUGAGUAAAGUGGCGCACGGGUGAGUAACGCGUGGAUAAUCUACCCUUCAGUUGGGAAUAACUUAUCGAAAGGUGAGCUAAUACCGAAUAAAACUGCCUGACCACGGUCGGGUAGUCAAAGAUAGCCUCUGCUUGCAAGCUUUCGCUGAAUGAUGAGUCCGCGUACCAUUAGCUAGUUGGUGGGGUAAUGGCCUACCAAGGCGACGAUGGUUAGCUGGUCUGAGAGGAUGAUCAGCCACACUGGAACUGAGACACGGUCCAGACUCCUACGGGAGCAGCAGUGAGGAAUCUUGCGCAAUGGGGGAAACCCUGACGCAGCAACGCCGCGUGAGUGAGGAAGGUCUUCGGAUCGUAAAGCUCUGUCGGGUGGAAAGAAAUAUAUGGGGUUAAUAGCCUUCAUACUUGACGGUACCACCAAAGGAAGCACCGGCUAACUCCCG